AGAGUUUGAUUAUGGCUCAGGAUGAACGCUGGCGGCGUGCCUAACACAUGCAAGUCGAGCGUGAACCCUUAGAAUGAAACUUCGGUCGAAUGAAGAGGGGAAAGCGGCGGACGGGUGAGUAACGCGUAGGCAACCUGCCCCGUACAGAGGGAUAGCCUCGGGAAACCGGGAUUAAAACCUCAUAGUACCAUGGUAUCACAUGAUGCAAUGGUCAAAAGAUUUAUCGGUAUGGGAUGGGCCUGCGUCUGAUUAGCUGGUUGGUGGGGUAACGGCCUACCAAGGCAACGAUCAGUAGCCGACCUGAGAGGGUAAUCGGCCACAUUGGAACUGAGACACGGUCCAAACUCCUACGGGAGGCAGCAGUGGGGAAUAUUGCACAAUGGGCGAAAGCCUGAAUGCAGCAACGCCGCGUGAGCGAAGAAGGCCUUUGGGUCGUAAAGCUCUGUCGGGAAGGAAGAUAAUGACGGUACUUCCCGAGGAAGCCCCGGCUAACUACGUGCCAGCAGCAGC
rnacentral:rRNA from 1 species